rnacentral:piRNA from 1 species
UGGCUUUUUUUUUGUAAUGAG